UUAUGAGAGUGGCGCACGGGUGCGUAACACGUAUGCAACCUACCUUCAACUGGGGGAUAGCCUUCCGAAAGGGAGAUUAAUACCGCAUAAUAUAAUUGAGUGGCAUCACUUGAUUAUCAAACGUCAGGGUUGAAGAUGGGCAUGCGUCCGAUUAGUUUGUUGGUGAGGUAACGGCUCACCAAGACUACGAUCGGUAGGGGAUCUGAGAGGAUGGCCCCCCACACUGGUACUGAGACACGGACCAGACUCCUACGGGAGGCAGCAGUAAGGAAUAUUGGUCAAUGGACGGAAGUCUGAACCAGCCAUGCCGCGUGCAGGAAGACGGUCCCCUGGAUUGUAAACUGCUUUUGUUAGGGAAGAAGCUUCCGUACGUGUACGGGACUGACGGUACCUAAAGAAUAAGGAUCGGCUAACUCCGUGCCAGCAGCCGCGGUAAUACGGAGGAUCCAAGCGUUAUCCGGAUUUAUUGGGUUUAAAGGGUGCGUAGGCGGCGUUGUAAGUCAGUGGUGAAAGUUUGCAGCUUAACUGUAAAAUUGCCAUUGAUACUGCAGUGCUUGAGUAUAGAUGAGGUGGGCGGAAUGUGUCAUGUAGCGGUGAAAUGCAUAGAUAUGACACAGAGCACCGAUUGCGAAGGCAGCUCACUAAACUAUAACUGACGCUGAGGCACGAAAGCGUGGGGAUCAAACAGGAUUAGAUACCCUGGUAGUCCACGCCCUANACGAUGAUUACUCGAUGUUAGCGAUACACUGUUAGCGUCAAAGCGAAAGCGUUAAGUAAUCCACCUGGGGAGUACGCCCGCAAGGG
rnacentral:rRNA from 1 species